rnacentral:rRNA from 1 species
UAGGGAAUCUUCGGCAAUGGACGGAAGUCUGACCGAGCAACGCCGCGUGAGUGAAGAAGGUUUUCGGAUCGUAAAGCUCUGUUGUUAGAGAAGAACGUUGGUAGGAGUGGAAAAUCUACCAAGUGACGGUAACUAACCAGAAAGGGACGGCUAACUACGUGCCAGCAGCCGCGGUAAUACGUAGGUCCCGAGCGUUGUCCGGAUUUAUUGGGCGUAAAGCGAGCGCAGGCGGUUCUUUAAGUCUGAAGUUAAAGGCAGUGGCUUAACCAUUGUACGCUUUGGAAACUGGAGGACUUGAGUGCAGAAGGGGAGAGUGGAAUUCCAUGUGUAGCGGUGAAAGGCGUAGAUAUAUGGAGGAACACCGGUGGCGAAAGCGUCUCUCUGGUCUGUAAAUGACGCUGAGGCUCGAAAGCGUGGGGAGCAAACAGG